AACGAACGCUGGCGGCAGGCCUAACACAUGCAAGUCGAGCGCACCCUUCGGGGUUAGCGGCGGACGGGUGAGUAACGCGUGGGAACGUGCCCUUCUCUGCGGAAUAGCCUCGGGAAACUGAGAGUAAUACCGCAUACGCCCUUUGGGGGAAAGAUGUAUCGGAGGAGGAUCGGCCCGCGUUGGAUUAGUUAGUUGGUGGGGUAAUGGCCCCCCAAGCCGACGAUCCAUAACUGGGUUGAGAGGAUGAGCACCCACACUGGGACUGAGACACGGCCGAGACUCCUACGGGAGGCAGCAGUGGGGAAUCUUAGACAAUGGGGGCAACCCUGAUCGAGCCAUGCCGCGUGAGUGAUGAAGGCCUUAGGGUUGUAAAGCUCUUUCAGCUGGGAAGAUAAUGACGGUACCAGCAGAAGAAGCCCCGGCUAACUCCGUG
rnacentral:rRNA from 1 species